rnacentral:rRNA from 1 species
UACGUAGGGGGCAAGCGUUGUCCGGAUCUAUUGGGCGUAAAGAGCGUGUAGGCGGCCUGAAAGGUCAGCUGUGAAAACUCGAGGCUCAACCUCGAGACGUCGGUUGAAACCAUCUGGCUAGAGUCCGGAAGAGGAGUGUGGAAUUCCCGGUGUAGCGGUGAAAUGCGCAGAUAUCGGGAAGAACACCCGUGGCGAAGGCAGAUCUCUGGGACGUUACUGACGCUGAGACGCGAAAGCGUGGGGAGCAAACAGG